rnacentral:sRNA from 1 species
AAAUAGUCCUUAAUUCUGCGUGAGGGAUAGAUGUGAAAAUCCUUUAUGUUUUUUCUUUAAAAACAUAAAGAUUGAAACGAAUAGCCCGACCCUUG